rnacentral:rRNA from 1 species
UUAAGCGACUAAGCGUACACGGUGGAUGCCCUGGCAGUCAGAGGCGAUGAAGGGCGUACUAAUCUGCGAUAAGCGCCGGUAAGGUGAUAUGAACCGUUAUAACCGGCGAUACCCGAAUGGGGAAACCCAGUGUGACUCGUCACACUAUCAUUAACUGAAUCCAUAGGUUAAUGAGGCGAACCGGGGGAACUGAAACAUCUAAGUACCCCGAGGAAAAGAAAUCAACCGAGAUUCCCCCAGUAGCGGCGAGCGAACGGGGAGGAGCCCAGAGCCUGAAUCAGCAUGUGUGUUAGUGGAAGCGUCUGGAAAGGCGCGCGAUACAGGGUGACAGCCCCGUACACAAAAGCGCAUGUGCUGUGAGCUCGAUGAGUAGGGCGGGACACGUGGUAUCCUGUCUGAAUAUGGGGGGACCAUCCUCCAAGGCUAAAUACUCCUGACUGACCGAUAGUGAACCAGUACCGUGAGGGAAAGGCGAAAAGAACCCCGGCGAGGGGAGUGAAAAAGAACCUGAAACCGUGUACGUACAAGCAGUGGGAGCACAGGUUUACCUGUGUGACUGCGUACCUUUUGUAUAAUGGGUCAGCGACUUAUAUUCUGUAGCAAGGUUAACCGAAUAGGGGAGCCGGAGGGAAACCGAGUCUUAAUUGGGCGUUAAGUUGCAGGGUAUAGACCCGAAACCCGGUGAUCUAGCCAUGGGCAGGUUGAAGGUUGGGUAACACUAACUGGAGGACCGAACCGACUAAUGUUGAAAAAUUAGCGGAUGACCUGUGGCUGGGGGUGAAAGGCCAAUCAAACCGGGAGAUAGCUGGUUCUCCCCGAAAGCUAUUUAGGUAGCGCCUCGUGAAUUCAUCUCCGGGGGUAGAGCACUGUUUCGGCUAGGGGGCCAUCCCGGCUUACCAACCCGAUGCAAACUGCGAAUACCGGAGAAUGUUAUCACGGGAGACACACGGCGGGUGCUAACGUCCGUCGUGAAGAGGGAAACAACCCAGACCGCCAGCUAAGGUCCCAAAGUCAUGGUUAAGUGGGAAACGAUGUGGGAAGGCCCAGACAGCCAGGAUGUUGGCUUAGAAGCAGCCAUCAUUUAAAGAAAGCGUAAUAGCUCACUGGUCGAGUCGGCCUGCGCGGAAGAUGUAACGGGGCUAAACCAUGCACCGAAGCUGCGGCAGCGACACUGUGUGUUGUUGGGUAGGGGAGCGUUCUGUAAGCCUGCGAAGGUGGCCUGUGAGGGUUGCUGGAGGUAUCAGAAGUGCGAAUGCUGACAUAAGUAACGAUAAAGCGGGUGAAAAGCCCGCUCGCCGGAAGACCAAGGGUUCCUGUCCAACGUUAAUCGGGGCAGGGUGAGUCGACCCCUAAGGCGAGGCCGAAAGGCGUAGUCGAUGGGAAACGGGUUAAUAUUCCCGUACUUGGUGUUACUGCGAAGGGGGGACGGAGAAGGCUAUGUUGGCCGGGCGACGGUUGUCCCGGUUUAAGCGUGUAGGCUGGUUUUCCAGGCAAAUCCGGAAAAUCAAGGCUGAGGCGUGAUGACGAGGCACUACGGUGCUGAAGCAACAAAUGCCCUGCUUCCAGGAAAAGCCUCUAAGCAUCAGGUAACAUCAAAUCGUACCCCAAACCGACACAGGUGGUCAGGUAGAGAAUACCAAGGCGCUUGAGAGAACUCGGGUGAAGGAACUAGGCAAAAUGGUGCCGUAACUUCGGGAGAAGGCACGCUGACACGUAGGUGAAGUGAUUUACUCAUGGAGCUGAAGUCAGUCGAAGAUACCAGCUGGCUGCAACUGUUUAUUAAAAACACAGCACUGUGCAAACACGAAAGUGGACGUAUACGGUGUGACGCCUGCCCGGUGCCGGAAGGUUAAUUGAUGGGGUCAGCGCAAGCGAAGCUCCUGAUCGAAGCCCCGGUAAACGGCGGCCGUAACUAUAACGGUCCUAAGGUAGCGAAAUUCCUUGUCGGGUAAGUUCCGACCUGCACGAAUGGCGUAAUGAUGGCCAGGCUGUCUCCACCCGAGACUCAGUGAAAUUGAACUCGCUGUGAAGAUGCAGUGUACCCGCGGCAAGACGGAAAGACCCCGUGAACCUUUACUAUAGCUUGACACUGAACAUUGAGCCUUGAUGUGUAGGAUAGGUGGGAGGCUUUGAAGUGUGGACGCCAGUCUGCAUGGAGCCGACCUUGAAAUACCACCCUUUAAUGUUUGAUGUUCUAACGUGGACCCGUUACCCGGGUUGCGGACAGUGUCUGGUGGGUAGUUUGACUGGGGCGGUCUCCUCCUAAAGAGUAACGGAGGAGCACGAAGGUUGGCUAAUCCUGGUCGGACAUCAGGAGGUUAGUGCAAUGGCAUAAGCCAGCUUGACUGCGAGCGUGACGGCGCGAGCAGGUGCGAAAGCAGGUCAUAGUGAUCCGGUGGUUCUGAAUGGAAGGGCCAUCGCUCAACGGAUAAAAGGUACUCCGGGGAUAACAGGCUGAUACCGCCCAAGAGUUCAUAUCGACGGCGGUGUUUGGCACCUCGAUGUCGGCUCAUCACAUCCUGGGGCUGAAGUAGGUCCCAAGGGUAUGGCUGUUCGCCAUUUAAAGUGGUACGCGAGCUGGGUUUAGAACGUCGUGAGACAGUUCGGUCCCUAUCUGCCGUGGGCGCUGGAGAACUGAGGGGGGCUGCUCCUAGUACGAGAGGACCGGAGUGGACGCAUCACUGGUGUUCGGGUUGUCAUGCCAAUGGCACUGCCCGGUAGCUAAAUGCGGAAGAGAUAAGUGCUGAAAGCAUCUAAGCACGAAACUUGCCCCGAGAUGAGUUCUCCCUGAGACUUAGAGUCUCCUGAAGGAACGUUGAAGACGACGACGUUGAUAGGCCGGGUGUGUAAGCGCAGCGAUGCGUUGAGCUAACCGGUACUAAUGAACCGUGAGGCUUAACCUU